GUAAACGGAGGGUCCCUUUGAUAAAGAAUAAGUGACAGUGACUAACACGCAAAGAUAUGCUGCGUAUUAUGAGGUAAAUAUUAAAUCGCAUAUUCAGGGAAUCGUGAGACUGAUUUCAUCAGCAUCCUUUCAGAAGAAUCUCAGUGAAGAUGAAAAGAUUCUGGAAGCUGCUAUUACUGUUAUUAUGAUUACUAUUAUUAUUAUGAGGUCAAUGAUGAUAAAUGUAGGUCCGGUUGACUUUGGAUGGUAUGAAAUAAUUAGACUCUUGAGUUCUCAUCAUGAGAGUGAGAAUAAAAGAAUCCAGAGACUCGACCAGGAGUACAAGUCUUUCUAUUUCUGUUUAGUUCUCUGCUGUCGCCCUCUGCUGGUUCCAAAGAGACUCUGGGGGCAAAUCAGCUGUUAAUCCCUGCAGGGAGUCCAUUCAUACAGUUUACUUAAAGUUACUGUGAGUCAGUUCACUUCAUUUCACAGGAACUAUUUUCUACAACGAGUGUCUCCGGUCGGCAGCCAUGACGUCACGAGAUGAACACGUGGUGUGAUUAAUUACGUCACGUCAGCCUGGCUGCUCUGUGCACAGGGGCGACUACUCCGUCCCCGCGAUGCACGCCGGUGGGAUUUGUGUCCGACCUGCUCUGACAUCACGCAGUGCAUGAUGGGAAACACCUGCUCGACGCCUGACCUCUGCACACUGAUUCAGACGGUUCAACGUGCAGCACGAAAGGUGGACUGAAGACAUUUCUACGGCUGAAUUCUGAGGGAAUGGGGAUUAAAAACGUACUUUUACCUUCAGGGCUGGUGACUUUUAUUCCCGUGCAUCAUUUAGUUUCCUUGCGACCUUUCAAAGACAGAGACCCCAGAUCUCGUUAAUUACCUGACUGUUUGAAGAGGCUUCAUAUCUCUGCAUACAUGACGAACACGUCCCUGCUGCGUGCAUCGCCUCGGAAGGAAACAGAAGGUCACGUGAAUUUGAUCAAAGGUCACGCUGGUAAUGUAAGUUUUAUUUUUACUUUUCAGCUUUUUUGCAUCAAACACAAGACUUUUUUUUCUUCAACUUUCUGAUCACUUUUUAUGUCUUGUUUUAUUUGACCUAUUUGUUUUCUUCAUCCUUUUGUUACUGCAUUCUUUUGAGAUGUCUGUUAUUAACCGGGUGCUACUGCAGGACUUUAAUUAAGGUGACCCGAUGAUUUAGACAAAAUAAAUUAUAAUUCGAUUGCUUAAUACUUUGUAUGCUUUCU
ensembl:lncRNA